rnacentral:rRNA from 1 species
UGGGGAAUUUUGGACAAUGGGGGAAACCCUGAUCCAGCCAUCCCGCGUGUGCGAUGAAGGCCUUCGGGUUGUAAAGCACUUUUGGCAGGAAAGAAACGUCAUGGGUUAAUACCCCGUGAAACUGACGGUACCUGCAGAAUAAGCACCGGCUAACUACGUGCCAGCAGCCGCGGUAAUACGUAGGGUGCAAGCGUUAAUCGGAAUUACUGGGCGUAAAGCGUGCGCAGGCGGUUCGGAAAGAAAGAUGUGAAAUCCCAGAGCUCAACUUUGGAACUGCAUUUUUAACUACCGGGCUAGAGUGUGUCAGAGGGGGGUGGAAUUCCGCGUGUAGCAGUGAAAUGCGUAGAUAUGCGGAGGAACACCGAUGGCGAAGGCAGCCUCCUGGGAUAACACUGACGCUCAUGCACGAAAGCGUGGGGAGCAAACAGG